CAAAAGGCUCUUUUCAGAGCCACUUACAUAAUCCUAAAAAGGUGG
rfam:Mustela putorius furo unplaced genomic scaffold scaffold00400, whole genome shotgun sequence.